CCUACGGGAGGCAGCAGUAGGGAAUCUUCCACAAUGGGCGAAAGCCUGAUGGAGCAACGCCGCGUGGGUGAAGAAGGUCUUCGAAUCGUAAAACCCUGUUGUUAGAGAAGAAAGUGCGUGAGAGUAACUGUUCACGUUUCGACGGUAUCUAACCAGACAGCCACGGCUACCUCCGUGCCAGCAGCCGCGGUAAUACGGAGGUGGCAAGCGUUAUCCGGAUUUAUUGGGCGUGAAGGGAACGCAGGCGGUCUUUUAAGUCUGAUGUGAAAGCUGUCGGCUUAACCGGGGUAGGGCAUUUGAAAUUGGGAGACUUGAGUGCAGAAGAGGAGAGUGGAAGUCCAUGUGUAGCGGUGAAA
rnacentral:rRNA from 1 species